UACGUAGGGGGCAAGCGUUGUCCGGAAUCAUUGGGCGUAAAGCGCGUGUAGGCGGUCCGAUCAGUCGGCUGUGAAAGUCCAGGGCUCAACCCUGGGAUGCCGGUCGAUACUGUCGGGCUAGAGUCCGGAAGAGGCGAGUGGAAUUCCCGGUGUAGCGGUGAAAUGCGCAGAUAUCUGGAGGAACACCGGUGGCGAAGGCGGCAUCCUGGACCAACACUGACACUGAGGAGCGAAAGCCAGGGGAGCAAACGGG
rnacentral:rRNA from 1 species